rnacentral:lncRNA from 1 species
UGUUUGCAUCAAAAUCUUUUUUGACUGUCUAAAGAUGACUUUGUUUCUGGCUCACUGAGCUAUCCCAACACUGCCCUAAUGAGUAAAUGAAGUGUUAAAAACAAGUCUGACACACACCCUUCAGGUAACCAACUUCUCGUUUCCUCCCUCCUUCUCGCCCACGUCCCUCUCCGGGAUGCUCUGGUAAUUGUAGGCCCUUUGCAUCCCACUGAAUGUUGUUACCUUGGUUUAAGCAGCUCUGAGCAUCCUUCUUUAUGGAUAGGAGAUCCAGGAGAUCAUCAUUGUUCUGCUCAGGCUCAGCUUUAGCGUCAGAUGGGGGGGUCGGGAACGGCUAUACUCCCGGUACCUGAUGAAAAAAAUCUUCUGGAAUUUUCUGAUGUGGAUGUUUUGUGCCAUGCAUGCUUCACUUUCAACAGUUAUGGUCUGAAGUCGCUCAGAACUGUGUGACCCCUGGAAUUUUCCUGUUCAACUCAAAGCACCCAUAGCAGUGACUCUCCACCUGUGGGUUGUGACCCCUUUGGUGGGGGGUGGGAGUCAAAUGACAUUUUCCAUAUAUUUACAUUGCGAUUCAUAAUGGUAGCAAAAUUACAGUUAUGAAGUAGCAAUGAAAACAAUUUCAUGGUUGGGGGUCAGCACAAGGUGAGGAACUGUAUUAAAGGACAUUGAGAACUGCUGUACUAGAGGCUGCUCACUGCCAAUCAAAUAACUGUACCCCCUCCACACACACAGCGUGGUCAUUAGCUGGACUCAGGAAAUUCGUGAUGUUCUUGGGGGAACUCUGUAGAGAUUUUUGGAUGUCUGUACUUGCACAUAUCCCUCCUGUCUGUCCAGCAAAGUCUUCUGCUCGUACACUUCCCUGUGCCUAGGCAGAAAGCCAGGGUUCUUUUAAAAUUCAUAGGCAUGUGCUGUCUAAAAAUAGUUGCUUUCCAUAUUUUGCAUAGUUGUAUAGUUUUAUAGAGUGGGGAGGAAGUCUGAUGGCCACUGCUGCAUUUAGGUCGAGACAGGAAAUCUGGACUGCCCUUGUUAUGGAAAGAAAAAUGCAGAGAGCAUUUCAAUUCAUAUACUUGAAGGUUUGUGGUAUUCAGGUAUGAUCCCAGAAUCUAGUGACAAAAAUCUAUGGUAGAGAAGUGAGGAGUGUGGAAAAGAGCAUGGGGGGGGGGACUCAGAGAGAGCAGAGGAGCACUCAGAGAGCACAGGGAGCACUGAGAUACCACCGGGAGCACCUAUGCCCGGUAACCAGGGGAGGACAACAAUUUAAAAAUGUCAUACUACACAGCCUGCCAAUUUCUGUGUGUUCCGUCCCACUGUGCUCACAGUGCAUCGAUUUCUGAACCACUGCCCAGUGCACAAGUGCGAUUCGGUCUGUUGAGCCUUUAAACUGUUGAAAUUUAAUAAAUUAUAAUGGCUUUUCCGCCCAGCUUGUCACUAUGCCACAUUAGUUUUGAAAUUAAAAAAAAAAUCAGGUCCAGGGCUCUGCUUGCUGGGCUGUUUUGUGAGACACUUUUUAGUUCCUUAAAUAUGGGCCACAGAAAAACGCAACUGCAGCAUCUCAAAGCAGACUUUCCCCCAUGCUCUGGACCUAUUCUUACAUUGGAAAAGCAGCAAAGGAAAUGAGUGGCUACAAACCUUGUGCUAUUUUCACUUAAGCAUAGUGUAUUUCAUUUUGUUAGAGCUUUGUUAAAAAAUACUUGAAGUUCUUCAGAAAAUGCCCAUUUAAAAAUUAUUCAGUAUUUAAUUAUGCCAGUUGGGAGAGACAAGGAAGUGCCCAUGCACCUGCAGUACCCACCAUGGACACACAUUGGCAUGCCCGCCUCCUUUAUUGCGGGACUCAGUUCUAACUCCACUUGGAAGUAAAUACAGUAAAAUGUCCUCACUGUAUUCAUGUGGCAACUUACAUCUCUGGAACAAGCUAUUGUUUUUGUAGCAUUUACAUUGGAUGCUUUUGCAUGUUCCAAGACAAUCAAAUAGUUUGUAAGGUUACAGACACGAAUGCAAAGGCAGUCAUAGAAUUGUAUAACAGUCCUCUAAAGAAGGCGGUUUCCCAAGUGUUCUAGAGUUUGUUAAUACUAGAAUUUUAAAAGUUAUGAUCACAACAAAUCAUAGAAUAGUAACAGUUCUUGUAGGUAGGCUGCAGGCUUCAGACUCUCAGGAAUACAUCAAUAUGUGAGGAGUUUAACAACUUAGUGAGUGG